GAUGAACGCUGGCGGCGUGCCUAAUACAUGCAAGUCGAGCGAACGGACGAGAAGCUUGCUUUUCUGAUGUUAGCGGCGGACGGGUGAUUAACACGUGGAUAACCUACCUAUAAGACUGGGAUAACUUCGGGAAACCGGAUCUAAUACCGGAUAAUAUUUUGAACCGCAUGGUUCAAAAGUGAAAGACGGUCUUGCUGUCACUUAUAGAUGGAUCCUCGCUGCAUUAGCUAGUUGGUAAGGUAACGGCUUACCAAGGCAACGAUGCAUAGCCGACCUGAGAGGGUGAUCGGCCACACUGGAACUGAGACACGGUCCAGACUCCUACGGGAGGCAGCAGUAGGGAAUCUUCCGCAAUGGGCGAAAGCCUGACGGAGCAACGCCGCGUGAGUGAUGAAGGUCUUCGGAUCGUAAAACUCUGUUAUUAGGGAAGAACAUAUGUGUAAGUAACUGUGCACAUCUUGACGGUACCUAAUCAGAAAGCCACGGCUAACUACGUG
rnacentral:rRNA from 1 species